CGUACGUAAUUGACAUAAUUUCUAAUGAAAUCUAAAUCUUCAUUCUAUGAUGUAUCGAUUAUUGCAUCCAUGAGAUGUAAGACAGUUAAAAAAUUUGUAUAGUUUACAUUGUACAUAUCUCUUGUAGAGUAUGUAUAUUUUAACGUACAAACACCCAAUCCUGCCUAAAAUUUCAAGAAUUACUAAAAAUAUUUUAGACUUUUAGACCAAGAGUCUGCCAGCGCCAUCUCUGAGAAAUCUUCUCAAACGACGAGAGAAAUUUGUACCUUCAAUCGGUAAUCCUGUUACCAAGUUUUAACCUAUUUUAAUAGAUGGCGCCACGUUAACGUUUCGCGAUUUUGAUGCCGACGACGCGUUUCACUCGCUGACAGUUCAUCAUUUCGCUAACAGAGUGCGUUCGUACCCAAUUCCCGGAUCGGUUUCGCACCGGUCCGGUUUUUCGCCUUAGGAUACUCCCUGGAUGCUCCUGGCCGAGCUCUCGAGCGGCCCUCUAAUAUCUCAAGCGGUUCACAACUGGAUUUUAGACGCCUAACAUUCCCCAUGCGAUGUUUACCACGAAGGCCUGCGGUGAGAAAAUAACACGCGUUCGAGAUUGAAAGAGUAGAUCGAAGAGCGCAUCUCGAAAAGGACGAGCGAGGAAUUUGCGCGUUUCUCAGACAUUUGCAUGGCAGGAGAGCGCAGUUAGAAAACAAGUUGGAAGGAGGAAAAAUUAACGUCUCUUCGUGUUUCCGACGAUUAGAGGUCCAACUCGACUUAAAAUUGAAACGCACCGUAUUGUCAUUUGGAUUUCUGCCCAACGAAAUGGCGACGCUCCCUGUGUUUCUUCCAGUUUCUUCGCGAAUUCACCUUCGUGCGAAUUGACGAAACGACGCCGCAUCUCGAAAAUGAACCAUCGCUGUGCUAGCUUUUCUCCCGGGAUGCCGUGGGAGAAAGAUAAAGGAAAGAUGAAGUUCAAGGUCACGCACACGCUCGCUGUUGCGCAACACAAUCGGCGCCCUGUACCUGAGAAUUCACUAACAAUGCGUGAUAUCGCGAAUAUCCCAAGUACAACAACGCGCGUAGAGCAUAAAGGAAUCGCCACAAAGGACCUUAGAGCGAACAAAAGACAUAUCGCCGGACACUUUCAAAUUGCACUGAUCCUUUCUGGAGAAUUCUACAAGUUCUACACUGAGAAAAAAAUGUGUUGAACCGACAAAAUUUUUCAACUUGAUUAAAUUUGUUCAGUUCAAGUAUUUAUGUAUUUAACUCAAAUACACAAAAAUGUUUGAACUUUAACCAUUUAUAUAUUUAAUUUAAAUACAUAAAUACUUGAAGAAAAAUUAAAUCAAAUCAUUGAAAAAUGUAAUCAACAACUUUUUUUUUCUCAAUGUAAAGUUGCCGAAUUUUUUUACUCUUCUUUGGAGAGAGGGGAGAAACGAGAGAGAGAUCCUUUCCUAAACUGGCGGGAAACUUGAGAUCAUCAGUUUUUACCAACCACGUGGUUCGUGUUAAGUUCGAGAGAAAUUUAUGUUACUCGUGAAAUUUGUUAAACAAAAUUAGCUUUCUACAAAUUAAAAAUCAAGGUGAGAAGAGACGACAUUCUUAACCGCCGUUAGAGUUCUUUGAUUGUGGAACAGUGGUGCUCAGAUUUUUCGAAAUCGAGGCUAGAAAUACAAGCGCGGAUUCACGUUCACUGAAUCCGUUGCGUCGAUCGUAUAAAUAUGAAGUACGAAGACCACAUUUCUUUUUUGCGAGCUGAUAAAAGAAGAAUCCGGCAUUCAUCUCGCUGAUUCGCGGAAAUGUAGCGAGCGAACGUAUUUUACACAAGAAUACGGCAUCGCCUUCCGGUAUAUAUAUAUAUAUAUAUAUAUAUAUAUAUAUAUAUAUAUAUAUAUAUAUAUAUAUACAUACAUAUAUACACAUAUAUCUCUUCUUUAAUAGCGAGAGAGAAAGGGAGAGAGAAACAUUUUACCACCGCUCUCAGGCUGCUGUCCAGAAACGUCUCUCAGCGGUCGCUUCGCUCUCCGCUCUUCGCUUCGAAAAUCGCAUCUUUCUUUGUUGUGAUCCCCGGACGCCUUGGGAAAAAGCGUCCCUUCUCUCGCCCCUCCUUAAGGGCCUCACGGACGGUGACUGCCUGCCUGCGACUCCUGCGAGUGAGAGAUAGAGAGGGAGAGACAGAGCUGGGAUCACGGGGCGAAGAGAGACCGACGAAUCGAACGAUGGUGAGGAGAGAGGAGAGAGAGAGAACGGCGGUACGGGGCCCCUUCUCCGAGAAUGCCCCUACUACGAGUGAGGCCGCUAAUGCCAUUCCCGACGGACGCAUCAUUCUGCUUUCCGGCUCCGUCGACGACGUUUGUGUCUCUUUGAACGAGAACGAGGAAAUUUCCGUGAAGAUCAAUUUUAAGGAAAGAACACUUCCGGAGGAAGAGGAAAAUUGGACAACGUGGGAUCUUCCGAUACGCCCGUCCAGCGGCCCUGGAUGGGUUUGAAUUCAGUCCACGUUUCACGAUUAUAUGCGUGACUAGAUCCACACUCAUCCAAGGAUACUGGACCUGUGCUGAGGCGAGGAGAGCGCGAACGAACACUAGCGCGUUCGUGCGCGCGCGCACGCGUGUGUGGACCAACACACCUGUUCUUCUCUUCUCCCGAGGUUUCUGGGAAAAAGUGAUAUCGCGAGGUAAAUGAGAGAUAGAUUGACGGAAGGAUAAAAAGAAAGAGAGAGAUAAAGAAAUAGAGAAAGGCUCGUAGCUACGCAUCGGCAUCAUCGAGGUAACGGUCGCAGACGCGAGGUCGCGAUUUCUCGUGGAUCUCCUUCAUCGUGCAGAUUCGAAACCGGUAUAAUAAUCUUUGCGCGCGCUCGCCCGUAUCGCCGCCGCCGUCGUCGCCACCGCCGGCCAAGAUACGAUGCUUAAAUGGCGUCAUGAACGCGUCGAAGAACGUUCUAGUCCUCGGGAUACUGCGACGAGCACGAGGAUGUAUUUACGGGCAUUCGAAGCCAACCCCGGUAACCCUUUCGCGGCUCCUUCGUCGUCGAGUUCCGGAUCUCCCACGCGAUAGGCACGCUCCGAAACUAUCUUCCCCGUCCGUUCGCGGCGAACAGAAACGCGGGG